rnacentral:lncRNA from 1 species
UGACGGUUUAAUAGUGCUUGGCAGUUUCCCCCUUCAUUCUCUCUCUUUCUUGCUCUGACAUGUGAAGACUGUGCCUUGCUUCUUCUUCUGCCCUAACUAUAAGUUUCCUGAGGCCUCCCCAGCCAUGUGGAAUGUUCUCUUUCCUGCACCCCUGUGAAGAGGUGUCUUCCAUCAUGAUUAUAAUUUUCCUGAGGCCUCCACAGCCACGUGGAACUAUGAGUCUAUUAAACCUUUUAUUUACUUAUUUUUUUGAGAUGGAGUUUGGCUCUUGUUGCCCAGGCUGGAGUGCAAUGGCACGAUUUCAGCUGACUGCAACCUCCGCCUCCCGGGUUCAAGCAAUUCUCCUGUCUCAGCCUCCCAAGUAGCUGGGAUUACAGGUGCC